rnacentral:lncRNA from 1 species
AUUGUCUGACAAAACUGAGGCUUUUCAGAAACUGCAUUUCCCACACUGAGGUCAAGAUACUUCUAUUGCCAAGGAAGAGUAAAUGGAUAGGAGGAGGCAAAUUCUCCAGAGAUGAGGAGAGUGCCGGAAGUGGAGGAGGCUGAGAAGGAAUUGAUUCCAGAAAGAUACCACCACUCCUCAGUUAUGAAACCCAAGUGAGACCACAGUAUCCUGACUUCCAGCCUAGAGCUAUCUCUGAUUCAGUAAAUCUCUUCGCAGCAGCAUAUACACUGGGAACGGGAACUCUCACAGGUGCAGGACCCCGAUCAGCAACAACUUUGAAAUAAACUACAGCUCUCCUGUGCGCUAAAGGCAGAAAUGUGGAAAUAUUGAGAAAAUUCUUGUCUGCAUCACAGUAUGUAUAUCCUAGGAGGGCUUUCUUUUAAAAGAAAGAAACAUAUAUUGCAAAUAGGAGAGAUUUGACUGGGUCUAAGAUAAACCUCUCAACUUUGAGAACCAAGGUUUCUCAGAGAUUGAGAGGGGCUCACCCGAGCCAUCUUCAGUUUUUGAGACUCACAGUAUGUUAAAAAUUAAAUAUAAC